rnacentral:misc_RNA from 1 species
AAGUCGUAACAAGGUUUCCGUAGGUGAACCUGCGGAAGGAUCAUUACCGAGAUAGGGUUCCUUCGGGAGCCCGACCUCCAACCCUUUGUCUAAACAACCUUUGUUGCCUCGGCGGGUCGUCGAGAGCUCAGAAAUGGGCCUCGCCGUCGGUCGCUUUGGCGAUCCUCGCGUGCCCGCCGGUGGGAUUUCAAACAAACCAACAAAUAACGAGUCAUCUGAGUGAAUUUAUAAUACUUCAAAA